rnacentral:SRP_RNA from 1 species
GCCGGGCAUUGUGGCGGGCGCCUGUGGUCCCAGCUACUUGGGAGGCUGAGGCAGGAGACUCGCUUGAGCCCAGGAGUUGGAGGUUGCUGUGAGCUGUGAUGCCAUGGCACUCUACCUAGGGGGAUAUUUUUUUUUUCUUUUUAAGUCAGAGCCUCAAGCUGGCCCCCUGGGUAGAGUGCCGUGGCAUCACAGUUUACAGCAACCUCCAACUCCUGGGCUUAAGUGAGUCUUUUGCCUCUG